UGACCUCGGAUCAGGUAGGGAUACCCGCUGAACUUAAGCAUAUCAAUAAGCGGAGGAAAAGAAACCAACCGGGAUUGCCUCAGUAACGGCGAGUGAAGCGGCAAGAGCUCAAAUUUGAAAGCUGGCUCCUUCGGGGUCCGCAUUGUAAUUUGCAGAGGAUGCUUCGGGUGCGGCCCCUGUCUAAGUGCCCUGGAACGGGCCGUCAGAGAGGGUGAGAAUCCCGUCUGGGAUGGGGUGUCCGCGCCCGUGUGAAGCUCCUUCGACGAGUCGAGUUGUUUGGGAAUGCAGCUCUAAAUGGGUGGUAAAUUUCAUCUAAAGCUAAAUACUGGCCGGAGACCGAUAGCGCACAAGUAGAGUGAUCGAAAGAUGAAAAGCACUUUGAAAAGAGAGUUAAAAAGCACGUGAAAUUGUUGAAAGGGAAGCGCUUGCGACCAGACUCGCCUCCAGGGUUCAGCCGGCAUUCGUGCCGGUGUACUUCCCUGGGGGCGGGCCAGCGUCGGUUUGGGCGGCCGGUCAAAGGCUCCCGGAAUGUAGU
rnacentral:rRNA from 1 species